ACCAUGAAAAGGAGGCAAGAGAGAGAAGUGGCCUAAUCGGAUUUGCGGUGCUUUAUCGAUGCGUCAUGAUGUCAGAGAAGCGAGCAUCUGCGUCUCCACCACGCGUCGGUCUGAGUGGACGCACACGAAUCUGAUUCAGCUGUAGAGUGAGAGCGCUGCAUCGCCGACACAGUUGGACACGGCUGCAGAGAAAAACAAACACAGAUUUUCAAGUGUUGCGUUUAUUACAAGGAGGCAGAUUGUCUGCCUUUUGUUAUGGUGUCGUUAC
rnacentral:lncRNA from 1 species